rnacentral:rRNA from 1 species
AUUGAACGCUGGCGGCAGGCCUAACACAUGCAAGUCGAGCGAGCGGCGGACGGGUGAGUAAUGUAUGGGGACUGCCCGAUAGAGGGGGAUAACUACUGGAAACGGUGGCUAAUACCGCAUACUAUCGGAUAACCCAUAUGGGAUUAGCUAUUAUGUGGGGUAAAGGCGCACCUAGGGGACGAUCUCUAGCUGGUCUGAGAGGAUGAUCAGCCACACUGGGACUGAGACACGGCCCAGUAGCGUACGGAGUCAGUAGGGGGGAAGAUUGCUAAAGGGGCGCAAGCCUGAUGCAUCCAUGCCGCGUGUAGGAGGAAGGCCUUAGGGUUUUAAAGUACUUUCAGCGGGGAGGCGUUACCCUCAGAAGAAGAACCGGCUAACUCCGUUCCAGCAGCCGCGGUAAUAC